GCUCCUCGUCUGGGAAAGCAGACGAUCCGUGGGAUCGGGUGAGGGGUGGCGAAUAACGAUCGUUUGGUGCGUGGGCAUCCAAUGGAUGUGGUCAUAGGCGGUGGUGUGAUCUUCUGACGUCACAAUGGGCUCGUACGUUAUGGGGGGUGACGUAAGAGCCGAGUGCAGUUAGCACCCUAGACGAAGGCGAAGGUUUUCUGAGGUGCCCUGAAAGAAAAAAGAAAUGUUGUUGCAAAGUGGAUGAGUUUUCCGAAAGAACAGAAGUCAUCAUCUGUUAAGCAAAAACGGCCAGCAAAAAGAAAUAGAAAAUGUCCUGUGACAAAUAAGAUUUCUUCAAGAGCUCAGAUGACAAAACGUGUCAUCUACUCAUCAACUCUUGACAAUUAUUCUUCCAAGGUAUGGGUGAAUUUGACAAGAACAGCUGAGCAAUUUGUACAUUACUCCAGAUAUCUUCUUCACAGUUUUCUGUUUAAACAUGAAUAGAUGCGGUAUGAAAUGGUAAUAAAAAACUUAAAAAUGGUGGUUUAGUUUAGUUACAUUAACGCCCCGUUGUAAAGCAACACCAGGGUUAUUUCAGGGCGGACCUCAUAAUUUUGAACCGCGGUCGGAUCAAUAAUGAGGACGACACCUAAGAUGUCCCCCCCCUCUCCACACC